rnacentral:rRNA from 1 species
CCUACGGGAGGCAGCAGUGGGGAAUAUUGGACAAUGGGCGCAAGCCUGACCCAGCAACGCCGCGUGAAGGAAGAAGGCUUUCGGGUUGUAAACUUCUUUUCUGAGGGACGAAGAAAGUGACGGUACCUCAGGAAUAAGCCACGGCUAACUACGUGCCAGCAGCCGCGGUAAUACGUAGGUGGCAAGCGUUAUCCGGAUUUAUUGGGUGUAAAGUGCGUGUAGGCGGGAAAGCAAGUCAGAUGUGAAAACUCAGGGCUCAACCCUGAGCCUGCAUUUGAAACUGUUUUUCGUGAGUGCUGGGGAGGCAAUCGGAAUUCCGUGUGUAGCGGUGAAAUGCGUAGAGAUACGGAGGAACACCAGUGGCGAAGGCGGAUGGCUGGACAGUAACUGACGCUGAGGCACGAAGGCCAGGGGAGCGAAAGGGAUUAGAUACCCGAGUAGUC